GACAGUGUAGUGUAAUGGGUAAGAAGUUGGUCUUGUAACCUAAAGGUCACAGGUUCGAUUCCCGGGUAGGACACUGUCG
rnacentral:tRNA from 1 species